rnacentral:rRNA from 1 species
CAAUAGCGUAUAUUUAAGUUGUUGCAGUUAAAAAGCUCGUAGUUGGAUUUCGGGUGGGUUGGCGCGGUCCGCCUCUGGUGUGCACUGCGCCGGUCCACCUUCCUGCCGGGGACGGGCUCCUGGGCUUCACUGUCUGGGACUCGGAGUCGGCAAUGUUACUUUGAGUAAAUUAGAGUGUUCAAAGCAGGCCUACGCUCUGAAUAUGUUAGCAUGGAAUAACGCGAUAGGACUCUGGCCUAUCCGUUGGUCUGUGGGACCGGAGUAAUGAUUAAGAGGGACAGUCGGGGGCAUUCGUAUUCCGUUGUCAGAGGUGAAAUUCUUGGAUUUACGGAAGACGAACUU